rnacentral:lncRNA from 10 species
CAGGCUGGUCUUUAACUCCUUACCUCAAGUGAUCUUCCCACCUUGACCUCCCAAAGUGCUGGGAUUACAGGCAUGGGUUAAGAGGAAUCCCUGGUUACUACUCCAGCUGAGAGCCUGGACUAGGAUGGUGCCAGUGGACAUGGAGAGAAGGAGUUCAGAUGUAUAGGAGAUAAGAACAACAGACUUUGGUGAUGGGUAGAUGCAGGCUGAGGAAGGUGUCAAAGUUGACU